GCUAGGAUGAAAUUUGAAAAAAAAAGGCAGGACAGGAUUUUGAGUAAAAAAAAAAGGCAGGAUGAGUAACUUGGCAAAAAAAAAAAAGGCAGGAUGACAAUUGUUGUAAAAAAGUCAGGAUAAGCUAAGAAAAAAAAGAGCAGGACCGAAUAGACUGAAAAAUAAAAAGGCAGGACAGAGAUUACAACUAAAAAAAAGGCAGGACAAAAUUUUUCAUCCUAGCCCCCCCCCC
rnacentral:lncRNA from 1 species